UCUAAUAGUCUAAUAGUUACGCACGACGCCAAACGGUAACAAGGUAUCUUCUACAUCGUGCAUCGUAACAUCGUAUUGGAAGAAAGAAAAACCGCAGAGUACGGCAACGCGGGUGUAACCUCAUGCGUACCUACACCCGGACCGGACCACGAAGGCCACGCCAAAUAUCGAUUCUCGCUAAACUCGAAAUGGAUAUGGAAGCCCGAAGAAUGUUGGAAUUUUCUAGCGGGUUACGAAGAGUUGGCAUCGAUAGCUCCCUACCUACCUCGCCUCUUAUCUUCCCCGAUCUGUCCAACCAUCGUAACCUUCUUCUCCUCCAAGAGAUCUCGGCCAAUCGAACACUUUGAAUCGCAUCCCCGCGAGACAGACGAAAGAAUUCGAAGUGUGGAAAUGAGCGUUGCCACAAUUGCAGUUUGCGUUUAACAGGAAUAGCACCGGCUGAUAUUUAUACUCGCUAGGAACGUUUCUCUGUGUUUCCUGCGAGCGCUAAAGAGAACACCGCGAGCCCCAGCCUGGAAUUCGUAGGUUCCACGGAAAAUAGAAUUAUUGUACAUCGGAGACCGACUAGUUGCGAUUUGAAUUUAACGAUAAGUGCGAAGCAACUGGCGAUAACAACUGGUUUCCUCGAUCGGUAAAAAACCACGUGAUAAAGAAGGAAUGAAGCAGAGAGGUCGCUGCAAAAUGGGGCAUCGCGAUCGACAGCGUUCACGCGAUAACGAAACGUCCUCCAUUAAACGACGAACAUAGCACGCGCACGUAAUCGCAAAAUAAGUCGCCACACGUUUUAACAACUUGGUUCGCUCUACUUUGCGUUUGCUCACGACUUUUCGUUGAUCUAACGAUUAAGUAUUCGAGAACAGGGAUUCGAGGACGUUCGAUACGAGAUAACGUUUAGCCUGAGCUGUGAGUGGCAAAGAAGAAACUAAGGAACGCAGAGAGGGGGCAAGAGAUGGGUGCCGAUUGAACGACGAAAGAUCCAUGGAAGACUGAAGGAACAACGCGAAUUUAAUCCGCUUACUCGUGUAAGCAAUGAACGUGCUUGAUAAUUACGUUAAACGGUGGACGGAGGCGCGAAUCGUCGCGGGGAGACAUCAACGCCCGAUAAUUGUACACGCUGGCCCCGAAGAACGCCGGGUCAAGAAGAAAGCCUAUCGUAUUUUGCUGAGCAAAGUAGGUGCCAAUUGUAGCGGCUUUAAUAAACUCUGUAAGAGACAAUGACGGCUUUACGAGGUGCAAUAGGUCGAUUGUGCCUGCGAUCUAAGUGAUGAGAUCAUCGGCGAUCGCAUGCUCGUCGUUACUCUCGCAAUUCCAAUUUCAUAAAUAAUCUAUUUGGUAUUUUGGUAUUUCCUUUACUCGGGAAAAAUAUUUUUGCGACCAUCGGAUACCUUAUGAAGUUAAUUCAAAUGCGAUAUAUCUGUAUAUUAAUCGAUGAUAGAAAUAACAUUAUUUAAUUAAAUUACGUGUAAUAUAAUUUAGUAAUAAUUAAUUAAUUAAUAUAAUUUAAAUAAUCUGCAGUUGGAAGAAAUAAUUGCUCAGUUUUUGGAAAUGUGCAGUUGGUCACGAAAGUGUCAUGUUUGGUAUGCAGUAUAUUUUGUAUAAAAUUGUAGGAUUAUUGAGAAGACCGAUAAUGGUUUAAAAUAAAACAAUAUAUAGUGAAUAAUCAUACUUUCAAAAUUAAUAUUGAGAUAUGUAUAAUUUUGUGUGCUGGAUUGGGUUAAAUGUGUAGUAGAGAUACUUAUAUAUGGGUGUUAGUGUGUCAAGUGAUUGCGGAUUUUAUCAAUACCACCUAAUGGCAAAACCCGCAAUCACUUAGUUACUAACCUAAUAUUCAAGAAAUGGCAUUGCUGCAGAAAAACGCUACGUUUAUAUUGAAUUCUAAUGAAUAAAUAUAUGGACAUCUCUAUUUUAACUAUAAUCUUCGUCAAAUAUAUUAUUCAUUUUCCUCGUUUCGAAACGAACGUUCUUUCAAUCGUCUACGCUGAAAAUUCCGCGAAAUAUUAGGUUGGCAACUAAGUGAUUGCGUGUUUUGUCAAUACCACCUAAUAGCAAAACCCGCAAUCACUUAGUUGCCAACCUAAUAUUUAAAAAAUGGAAUUGCUGCAGAAAAACACUACGUUUAUAUUCAAUUCUAAUGAAUAAAUAUAUGGACAUAUUGAUAUAUGUAUAAUUUUGUGCGCUAGACUAGGUUAAAUGCGUAGUAGAGAUACUUGUAUAUGGGUGUCAGUGUGUGGAGGUAUGUAUGUGCGCGGCGUCUCGAAAACAGAUGAAUGUAAACUGUUCCAGUCGGUUAACAGUCGGGUAUGAAAGAAAGUGUUGAGGCGCGUGCAAGUGUGUAUCGAUGAAUAUCUUAGAAAUCGUCCAUCAAAUAAAUAUAUAAUUAUUCUAA